ensembl:lncRNA
GUGUAUGUAUAUAGAUAGUAUGGUUGUAUACACACAUAUAUACCAAACACCAUGAAUUUUAGCAGUCUGUGAUGAUCAGCAAAAAAGCACAUAAAGUAAAAAUUAGUUGACCAUGCUAAAUUCAAUUCUGGAAGAUUUUUUUAUUUGGGCAUUUCUAAAACUUUUUACAUUUGAAAGUACAUGAUGAGUAUUAGUAAUGAUAACUUAUGUAUAAUGAGAAUCUUUAUGAUAAUUUAGUUUUACAAGGUCAGAAGAGAUGAGUUUGCUAAACCCAGCUGUGAUACCUCAGUUGGAAAGGGAAUUCAAAGGUAUGCUUUGUAGAAGAGAAAAGUACAGGUUUUUUUUCAUGAACUUUAAUCCUUUUCUGUUUUUCCUCUAUGUGAGUCAGCUACAAAAGUGGUCUAAUUUUUAUAACAGUAGAACUUCCUCCUUUUCUACUCUAAUCUUCCCACUGACUUUACUGCACAGGUGUGAAAUACUAGUGUAUUGGAUCUUCAGUAACCUUUUUAUUUCCUAGAUGAUUGAAAUAUAGGUAUUUACUCCAUUUAAACCAGGUGAUAAGAUGAUGUAAAUACUCAGGGAGGGUAUUAACUUGUUACUUUUGCUUGUAUGGGGUGUAAAGUGCCAUGACUGAAUAAUCUUCAAUUCAUGAUUCUAGAAUAAGUUUAAUUUGGAAAAAGGGGCUUCACACAUGGUGGUGGUUGAACAUUGAUUCUUUUAUAUUUAAAAAGAUGAAAAUGUUUUGUGGACUGAUACAUUUUAUCUUAGUGAAUAUGAAUUGUUUAUGUAUCUCUACUGUCAAAUAGCCUUUUUGAAACUCAGGAAAGACAAAGGUUCAAUUACACCACUUUUGUCAAUAAGCAAACCAGGUAUUUUUUUUUUUUCCUGUUGUCUAGAUAUGGCAAUAGAUUUUUUAAAUUGCUGUGAGAACCCAUAUAUGAAAAGAGAGGAGUUGAAUUGUGUGUGCCUUUUAUGUCUUGAGAUUUAUAUGUGGAAAAGACGACAUCUACUUCAAACUGUAUUUUCUUUUUUGUUUUUUUGUUUUUUGUGGGAGGACGGGGUCUUGCUCUGUCACCCAGGCUGGAGUGCAGUGGCGUGAUCUCAGCUGACUGCAACCUCCACCUCCCAGGUUCAAGGGAUUCUGCCUCAGCCUCCCAAGUAGCUGAGACCACAGGUGCGUGCCACCACACCCGGCUAAUUUUUUUGUAUUUUUAGUAGAGACGGGGUUUAGUAGAGACAGAUCACUCCUGACCACGUGAUCCACCCACCUCGGCCUCCCAAAGUGCUGGGAUUACAGGCGUGAGCCACCACACCCGGCCUGUAUUUUCAGAGAGGAGAGCUUGGUGUUUAUGUGGUGCCAAGUGGUAAGAUAAUGUCUCUUCGAGGCUUCCUAUGGACUGCCUUUAUUUUAGUAAACUCAAGACACCAGUUAACCUCAACAGAGUUUUGGCCUUAUUAGAAUUUGUUGUGCAUCUUAUUGAAAGCCAGGUUUACAUCACUUCACCCCAUUAUUUUUUUUAGUUAAAUAAAUUCACCAUGCCAAGUAACCAGAAUGGAGCAAAUUGGUUGAUCUUUAAGGCAGUAGGUUUGACUAGCUAGCUAUCAUUAUUGUCACAUCUAAUGCUAGGCACCAGGAGCCAUUUGAGCCAGGGGUGUGAAUGAAUAAUUCCAGAGACACUUCAGACAUUUUUUAAUGUUUUAUAUGAACAUUUUACAUUUGUGUGAUUGCCUUAGAUAUUAAAUUUUCCUAGUGCUGAAAGUUAUCAUCAUAAAUAAAUUUUUUAAAAACAGCAACAAUCAUAACUUAUUUUAUAUAUUGUUCCAAAGAAAAUAAUUUGUUUUAAUGGUUUCAAAAUAACUGCACCUGAAUUUGUUUAUGUGCCUUAAGUUCUCUAGUGCUAUUUCAACUUUUUUUUCAAUCUAAAUGAAGCUUACCUUAGAUAAGGUUCAUAUUUGUUUCCUAUAGAGUAAAUAAACUCCCCCUUCUUAAAUUGUGUAAUAAGCACCAACGUGUGGUUGCUUGGCAGAAUGAGAAUGUUAAGGGAGAUUGUUGGAUGUUUGGAGUUUCAUUAUAUUUUUUGUUUUUAUUUUUUGAUACCUAGGUGCUUUUUAAAAUAUUCAGACAAAUAUUUAUCUUACAUUGAUUAAACCCAUGUAAAUUCAUUUGCAGUAUCUACAUCGAAUGUCAGAAAAGUAUACUUAUUUUUGUUCCAUACUUAACGUACAAUUUUUUCCCUCUUCAGGCUUUUUCAUUUAACUUUCUUGAAAAAGCACUUACUCUCCCCUUCCCUAUUACCCCUCCCCCAAGGUUUCUUUAUUUAAAUUUUUGUUGAGAGUUGUUGGAGCUCUAAGACAAUACAAUUUUGGAGUUGAACAAAAGUAUAAUCUGCUUUACAACUAGUAUAGACCUAAGGUCAUUUGCUUUCAAUUAGAGGCUCCAGAGUCUUCAUAGUAGAAAGAAUGCUUUGUAUUUAAUUGUUCUUAGUUAAGUUGUAGCACGUGAAUACUUACUUACAUGUUUUGUUUAAAUAUACUUCUUGCAUAGUUUAAUUUUUUAAAAGUUGUAUCUAAUAAAAUGUCUUUUAACCAUUGUUACUUGACUAUAUGGUUGUAUUAAAUUUUGUUU